AUACGAGGGGUGCAAGCGUUGCUCGGAAUUAUUGGGCGUAAAGGGUUGGUAGGUGGUCUUGUUUGUCUAAGGUGAAAUCCCAUGGCUUAACCGUGGAAGUGCCUUAGAAACGGCAAGACUAGAGUCCUAGAGGGGUUUGUGGAAUUCCCGGUGUAGCGGUGAAAUGCGUAGAGAUCGGGAGGAACACCAGCGGCGAAGGCGGCAAACUGGAUAGGAACUGACACUCAACAACGAAAGCGUGGGGAGCAAACAGGAUUAGAUACCCUGGUAGUCCACGCUGUAAACGAUGGGUACUAGGCUUUGUGGGAAUAGACCCCUGCAGAGCCGGAGCUAACGCAAUAAGUACCCCGCCUGGGAAGUACGGUCGCAAGACUAAA
rnacentral:rRNA from 1 species